rnacentral:lncRNA from 1 species
GGACGUGCUGCUACUCCCCUCAUUCCCAACAUGUAUCAAGUACCUGCAUUGAGUAAUGCAAGAGUGAGAUGACACAUCUCAGCAAGUAAAAUAAUAUCAAACAGUUUAACCAUAUAAGAACAUUGUUUUACCACCACUUAAUUCCACAACCUUCUUAUUACGAAGGUGCAGCACGUAUACAACGUACAACGCACCUAGUUACCACACCUCGCAGGUAGAAACCACAAUAGUAACAUAGUAAUGUCACACUUCAUAUAUUCCUCAUGAGUGCAAAUGUCUGCAAAUGCAAGGAUGACUUCUGCCUUCAUACCUCUAAGGAUAUGAAGCUGCAUCGUACCCCUCCUCGGGCAACGUACGAUGCUAAAAAUGUACCGGUACGGUCGGACCAUAAGAUCACGACAUAACUUCAAAAUGCAAGAUGGAUGAUGCGAUGUGCAUGUCAUGCCUACAACACUUCAUAUAACAUGAUUCAAAAAGACACUUCAACUUCAUCCAGAUGGGAAUCAACCACAUAUAUCAUUACCAAAUUAUGAUCAUCCAUAAUAUUAGACAAUUGAGAAUUAAUACUUCCAAACAAAUAAACUUUAUCAUAGAAUUCAAUGAUUAACAUAAUUAAAACUUGUGCAUACUCAAUGACAGGGAAUAGGAUGCAAACCAAACGGUAGCAACCACCACUGUAUUUACUUGCCUUUACCAGAAGUUCGGGCAAAUCCCAAGUACGAUCCGAAAGCCCACCACCUGUUUUUGACACCCAACUUAGUACACCAAUUUCACAUAAUCAGGCUCAUAAGCGACGCCGCACCUACGCACAAACUCAAACUCCGCCGCGGGUUACAUCUCUCCCUACACCCACCAAACUGCAGCGGCGCUGCUUAAUAAUUUCAUAACUUUAAAAUUAUGACAGCAGUGGUAACAAACAAAAACUCCAGAGGCAUCUACAUAAAAUUCCCCACAAGUUUUGUAUACAAUUUAUAAUUAAAUUUCAAUAUCUAAUUAGCCCAAAACAGUCCACAAGAUGAACCCUGUAAUCUGUUUUUCUUUGUCUUUUGGACAGCGACAUACCCAGAUUCAAACAUCGAUAUCUUUUAAAAUAUAAUUCCAAAUCAAGCACAUAAGUACUCAUUGGAAAGAUAAGACAAAUAUCUACAUGAUUACCAUACUGGUUAACACUAAUUACCCACGAAAAAGUCCCAGAAACUGCUAAUACCACUGCUGUUCACCCACCUGAAAAAUCUGUUUUUUUGGACAGCAACAUAACCGGAUUCAAACAACGAUAUCUCCUGAAUUAUAACUCCGAAUCGAGCGCAUAAGUACUUGUUGGAAAGAUAACAUAAAGCCCUACAUGAUUCUCAUACUGAUUAACACUAAUUACUCCCAAAAAAUCCCCAGAAAUGCUAAUACUGCUGCUGUUCAUCCCCUGAAAAAUCUGUUUUUUUGGACAGCCACAUACCCGGAUUCAAACGGUGAUAACUUUCAAUUUAUAACUCCAAAUUGAGCGCAUAAAUACUCGUUGGAAAGGUAAUGUAAAGUUCUACAUGAUCCCCAAACUGAUUUCCCUUAAUUCCUCACGAAAAAAACACAGAAACUGCUAGACUACUGCUGUUCACCCACCACCUAAAAUUCUGGACAGCCCCCCUCUACCCCAAUCGCAAACGCAACCUCUAAUCAAUUAAAUUGCAGCGCAAAUGAACAAGGGAUGAACACAAAAAUCACCUUGGAUUCUCCCCCUUUCCUUCCUCCCUUAUUCCCUCCACCAAAACGAUUGAAGACUCGCACCACGACGACGAUGAUCCGAGCGGCAAGGAUUGGCACCUUGGGAGGAGGGGAUUGAGAGGGGGGGGCGGCUAGGGUUUGGUGGCUGCAAGAAUUGAGAGAGGAGGAGAUGGGCAGGGGGCGGCGGCCAAGGGGGAAGAG